GACGAAGGGGGCUAGCGUUGUUCGGAAUUACUGGGCGUAAAGCGAGUGUAGGUGGUUUUCCAAGUUGGAUGUGAAAGCCUUGAGCUCAACUCAAGAAAUGCAUUCAGGACUGGAAGACUAGAGGACCGGAGAGGAUAGUGGAAUUCCCAGUGUAGUGGUGAAAUACGUAGAGAUUGGGAAGAACACCAGUGGCGAAGGCGGCUCUCUAGUACGGUACUGACGCUGAGACGCGAAAGCGUGGGGAGCGAACAGG
rnacentral:rRNA from 1 species